rnacentral:rRNA from 1 species
UAGGGAAUCUUCGGCAAUGGGGGCAACCCUGACCGAGCAACGCCGCGUGAGUGAAGAAGGUUUUCGGAUCGUAAAGCUCUGUUGUAAGUCAAGAACGGGUGUGAGAGUGGAAAGUUCACACUGUGACGGUAGCUUACCAGAAAGGGACGGCUAACUACGUGCCAGCAGCCGCGGUAAUACGUAGGUCCCGAGCGUUGUCCGGAUUUAUUGGGCGUAAAGCGAGCGCAGGCGGUUUGAUAAGUCUGAAGUUAAAGGCUGUGGCUCAACCAUAGUUCGCUUUGGAAACUGUCAAACUUGAGUGCAGAAGGGGAGAGUGGAAUUCCAUGUGUAGCAGUGAAAUGCGUAGAUAUAUGGAGGAACACCGGUGGCGAAAGCGGCUCUCUGGUCUGUAACUGACGCUGAGGCUCGAAAGCGUGGGGAGCGAACAGG